rnacentral:lncRNA from 1 species
AUUCCAGUAGUGUUUUGCUCAACUUUCCCUGGAGCCUUCGCCCGCAGUCUCCUCAAGGCCCUGCCAGCUUUCCCGCGCAGUCUCACUGAGGGUGUCAGGCGCCUCCCACACGUUAGGUUCUGCUAUGGCAGUGCCUCACUUCCAGGAGGAAGGAGAGGGAGCUUCAAGACACAGAGAUACAGAGGAGAAGGCCACGUGAAGAUGGAGGCAGAGACUGGAGGCGCCACUGCCAAGCAACACUGCGGAUCACCUGCAGCUGCCAGAGGCUUGGAGAGAGCUUGCCACAGGCCCUCCCUCAGAGCCUCCAGCGGGAACCCACCCUGCUGACACCUUGAUUUCAGGCUUCCAGCCUCCACAACUGUGGUGGAAUGAAUCACUGUUGUUUUGACCCACGCAGUUUGUGGCAAUUUGUACGGCAGUCCUAGGAAAGCUAACAGGCAGUCCAGCCCCUGCCCCUCAACACUUUGCAAGCUUUGAGCCCUGAUCCAGAGAUCUUCCCUUUCCCCGGCACCACGGCUCAGCACUGCUUCCCCCGCGGGGCUGCAUCUUCUCAGGACCCACGGCUGCACGGUCUCGAGCCGCGGUGCCUGGUUUCUCUCUUGCACCACCAUUGGUAUCUUCUCCCUCUCCUAUCUCUCACCAUCUGUGGAAGUGCUUUGUAUACAGUGAGCGCUUAAUAAAAGUCACUUUUCUCUCC